CCUACGGGUGGCAGCAGUGAGGAAUAUUGGUCAAUGGACGAGAGUCUGAACCAGCCAAGUAGCGUGAAGGAUGACUGCUCUAUGGGUUGUAAACUUCUUUUAUAUGGGAAUAAAAUCUUCCACGUGUGGCAUUUUGUAUGUACCAUAUGAAUAAGGAUCGGCUAACUCCGUGCCAGCAGCCGCGGUAAUACGGAGGAUCCGAGCGUUAUCCGGAUUUAUUGGGUUUAAAGGGAGCGUAGGUGGAUUGUUAAGUCAGUUGUGAAAGUUUGCGGCUCAACCGUAAAAUUGCAGUUGAGACUGGCAGUCUUGAGUACAGUAGAGGUGGGCGGAAUGCGUGGUGUAGCGGUGAAAUGCUUAGAGAUCACGAAGAACUCCGAUUGCGAAGGCAGCUCACUGGACUGCAACUGACACUGAGGCUCGAAAGUGUGGGUAUCAAACAGGAUUAGAUACCCUUGUAGUC
rnacentral:rRNA from 1 species